rnacentral:lncRNA from 1 species
ACAAACAUGAGGUCUUGUCAUCAUUGAACGACGCGAUUACAAACUUGCAAUGAGAAUUUCGAGUUCAUGUCAAUUGACAAGUUGAACAUAACACAAAUGAGAGGUUCAUCUCGAAACUUGCAAUAACAACUCAUGGUUCAUGACUUGACAAGUUCCAACAUAACACAAAUUCAAAAGUAGCCUUCACAUGAGAAAGACAACUUCACCAUCUGCAAAGAAACAACACAUAACAGCCAUAAUCAGUACAUUUGAUGUUUUUAGUUCAGUUUAACGUUUCAAUGGGGCAAGCUGGAAACAUGAUUCCAACAGUAUCUUGGGUUUCUGUAUGUCAUAUGCGUAAUACUAGUAUGUUGUCCCUGCAGAAUCAACCAACCAUUGGGAUCUCUAGAAUCACAAGACUCGUCUCAUUACAGUGGAGAAACUGAGGGUUUUUUUUUGUUUUUGUUUUUUUUUGCGAGAAGUGGAGAAACUGAGGUUGCCAAGCAAGAUUCAUGUACUGCAGUGGCAGCAGAUGCAAAUGACCUGACUAUAUUGAAACAAGCUGAAAUUGAUAGCCUGAAGGUUCUAAUGAUAUGCACUCAAAAUAUUCUGCCAAAAACGUUAUUUUCUAUGUUGGCAAGAUUUGACCACUACGUACAUCCGAAGACCAAAAAACAGCACAGUGAUGGCUAAGUCUCCAUUCUCUAGCACUACAUCUCCUGACCAAACGUGUCUACAUCUUGGUCCAAACCUCAUAGCCGGAUGAGGUUUACAGUCAGGUUACCUCCUCUUGGUGAUCGUUGUCGUGGUCGUGGCGCUCGGCGAGGAACCAGGGGAGGCAGGACCGACGGCGCGCUCGC